rnacentral:ncRNA from 2 species
UAAUCUGAGGGCGAUGGUGUUCGCCGAUAACUAUUUAUUGAAUAACAAUAGAUUAAUGACGCCUAUUGAAGG